rnacentral:rRNA from 1 species
AGGACGAACGCUGGCGGCGUGCCUAAUACAUGCAAGUCGAACGGUCUUUUCUAUGGAAGCUUGCUUCCACUGAGAAGAUAGUGGCGAACGGGUGAGUAACACGUGGGUAACCUGCCCAUAAGAGGGGGAUAACAUCCGGAAACGGGUGCUAAUACCGCAUAGUUUUCUUGAUCGCAUGAUUGAGAAAGGAAAGACGGCCUUUCGUGCUGUCGCUUAUGGAUGGACCCGCGGCGUAUUAGUUAGUUGGUGAGGUAACGGCUCACCAAGACGAUGAUACGUAGCCGACCUGAGAGGGUGAUCGGCCACAUUGGGACUGAGACACGGCCCAAACUCCUACGGGAGGCAGCAGUAGGGAAUCUUCCGCAAUGGACGAAAGUCUGACGGAGCAACGCCGCGUGAGUGAAGAAAAGGUUUUCGGAUCGUAAAACUCUGUUGUCAGAGAAGAACAAGUUGGAGAGUAACUGCUCCAGCCUUGACGGUAUCUGACCAGAAAGCCACGGCUAACUACGUGCCAGCAGCGGC